CUGCAUUCCACGCUGUUUUGCUGACAGGCUGUGGCACAGGUAUUAGGCCCCCCCACUUGAAGUGCUCAGGCGUAAAACCUCCAGAGAAUCAUUGCCAGGGAUCGAUUCCUAAUAUUUCGUACUCCAAACCAUCUCAGCAUGCAUUGACUUCUGGAAAAUGGAAGCUGCAACCAGGACAUGAUUCAAGAACUAGAUUUACAACAGAACGGAAAGAUAUCACACCCAGAGCAUCACUGGUCCAAUCGGCCAUGUGGGGAAACGGAGACUCAGAGGGAAUGGAUUUGAGUGGUUGGCGCCAAGAAUGAAGAACCCAGCUCUCCUGCUCCCACCUCCCCCUCUAUACAAGGCAUUCUUCCAAAAGGGUUCCUGUAGCCAAGAGCUUGUACCUGGAAUCUUCAUUAAGAACCAGGCGACCCUCUUCUGCCAACACCAUGGGCGAACAGAGAGAGCACCCCCAAGGAAGUUCCACCUGAGGCAGGCAACGUAUCACAGAGCAGCCCGCCACACACGCUGCACGGCCAAACCCAAGGUUUUUCCGGAGAAACCAUCAACAAUUAAAAUAGUCUUCUUCAAUAUCCCCUCUGUUCUGCUCAAGGACAGAAUGCACAGCCUGGCCUCUUUUCUAGGUGCUAGCUCAUCAGUUUAUCUGACACACGCACACCCCUGCCAAAUGCCAACAAGAUUCACUGCUCCCAGAUUCUCCGCUGUUUUUUCCCCAUUUAUCCUCUCUCCCUUCUCUCUUAUAAAUCCUUUUCUUUUGGCCGCAGUCCACUGAGUACUUUCGCUUGCUGAGAGGGCUAACCAUUCUAUCUGACUGAGCCUGAGGGACAGUUCCUAGAAGCCUGGAUUUUCAGUUUUAAAGCUAGACGCUCUCAGGCAAACCAGGACAAGUUGGUCAACUUGUCACUCACACGUGAGGCUACCUAUGUGCAAAGUAACCGUCUCUAAGUCACGAGCUGGAACUCAGUGCCUACAGAGGAGUUUAACAUGGUCUCUUUCGAGGACAUAUAAAUGUCUGAAGCAUUCCAUAUUUAGAAAUAAAAACACAGAAACAUA